rnacentral:rRNA from 1 species
GAUGAACGCUGGCGGCGUGCCUAAUACAUGCAAGUCGAGCGAACGGACGAGAAGCUUGCUUCUCUGAUGUUAGCGGCGGACGGGUGAGUAACACGUGGAUAACCUACCUAUAAGACUGGGAUAACUUCGGGAAACCGGAGCUAAUACCGGAUAAUAUUUUGAACCGCAUGGUUCAAAAGUGAAAGACGGUCUUGCUGUCACUUAUAGAUGGAUCCGCGCUGCAUUAGCUAGUUGGUAAGGUAACGGCUUACCAAGGCAACGAUGCAUAGCCGACCUGAGAGGGUGAUCGGCCACACUGGAACUGAGACACGGUCCAGACUCCUACGGGAGGCAGCAGUAGGGAAUCUUCCGCAAUGGGCGAAAGCCUGACGGAGCAACGCCGCGUGAGUGAUGAAGGUCUUCGGAUCGUAAAACUCUGUUAUUAGGGAAGAACAUAUGUGUAAGUAACUGUGCACAUCUUGACGGUACCUAAUCAGAAAGCCACGGCUAACUACGUGCCAGCAGCCGCGGUAAUACGUAGGUGGCAAGCGUUAUCCGGAAUUAUUGGGCGUAAAGCGCGCGUAGGCGGUUUUUUAAGUCUGAUGUGAAAGCCCACGGCUCAACCGUGGAGGGUCAUUGGAAACUGGAAAACUUGAGUGCAGAAGAGGAAAGUGGAAUUCCAUGUGUAGCGGUGAAAUGCGCAGAGAUAUGGAGGAACACCAGUGGCGAAGGCGACUUUCUGGUCUGUAACUGACGCUGAUGUGCGAAAGCGUGGGGAUCAAACAGGAUUAGAUACCCUGGUAGUCCACGCCGUAAUCGAUGAGUGCUAAGUGUUAGGGGGUUUCCGCCCCUUAGUGCUGCAGCUAACGCAUUAAGCACUCCGCCUGGGGAGUACGACCGCAAGGUCGAAACUCAAAGGAAUUGACGGGGACCCGCACAAGCGGUGGAGCAUGUGGUUUAAUUCGAAGCAACGCGAAGAACCUUACCAAAUCUUGACAUCCUUUGACAACUCUAGAGAUAGAGCCUUCCCCUUCGGGGGACAAAGUGACAGGUGGUGCAUGGUUGUCGUCAGCUCGUGUCGUGAGAUGUUGGGUUAAGUCCCGCAACGAGCGCAACCCUUAAGCUUAGUUGCCAUCAUUAAGUUGGGCACUCUAAGUUGACUGCCGGUGACAAACCGGAGGAAGGUGGGGAUGACGUCAAAUCAUCAUGCCCCUUAUGAUUUGGGCUACACACGUGCUACAAUGGACAAUACAAAGGGCAGCGAAACCGCGAGGUCAAGCAAAUCCCAUAAAGUUGUUCUCAGUUCGGAUUGUAGUCUGCAACUCGACUACAUGAAGCUGGAAUCGCUAGUAAUCGUAGAUCAGCAUGCUACGGUGAAUACGUUCCCGGGUCU